rnacentral:lncRNA from 10 species
AAAAAGAAAAGGCCAUACAGUUUCCUCUGGCUCUCAAGAAGCUCCUUCUUGAAACCCAGCUGCCAUGCUGUAAGGAAGCACAGGCCACAGGAAGAAGUCAUGUGUAGGCAUUCUGGCUGGCAGCCCAAGCUGGGCCCCAGAUAAGUGCCAGUACUGGUUAACCACCAGGUAUCUGAGGAAGUUUUAAGACGACACCAACCUCAGCCAACAUCUUACUAAAAUCACAUGAGCGCCCCCAAGUGAUAACAGCCUAAUUAAGUCCAGUCAACCCCUGGGACUAUAAGAGAUAAUAAAAUGAUUGUUAAUUUAAGCCACUAAGUUUUGGGGUGAUUAGUGAUGCAUUAGGUAACUGGAACAACUAUGCCACAAUCUGUCCAUUCUCCAGUUGCUGGAUAUUUGUUUCCACAUUUAUGCUAUUACAAACAGCACUGCUGUGAACAUUCUCAUACAUGUCUUUUGCAUGUACGUGGAAGUUUCUCCAGGGUAUAUAUUUGCUAGGAGAGUAACUGCUGGGUUGGAAAGUGUGUCACCUUCAACUUUACCACAACCUACCAAACUAUUUUCCAAGAUGGUUGGUACCAGCUUACAUUCCAUCAGCAAAGUAUAUCCUCCCAUUACUCCAAAUCUUCCCUAACACUUGAGACUUAAGGUUUUUGCCAGUCUACUGGGUGCACAAUGGUCUUAUUUCAUAUCCUUUUAAGGACUGGAAUUUUGUACUGUUCCCAUGAAUUAAUCCAAAAUAAGUGCUUAAACCUAUAGUAAUGUUGCUUUUUUAAAUUUUUUAUUUUUUCGAGACAGGGGCUCACUCUGUUGCCCAGGCUAGAGUGCAGUGUCGUGAUCACAGCUCACUGCAGCUUCUACCUGUUGCGCUCAAGUGAUCCUCCUGCGCUAAUUUUUAAAUUUUUUGUAGAGAUGGAGUUUCACCAUGUUGCCCAGUCUGGUCUGGAACUCCUGGGCUGAAGAGAUCUGCCUGCCUUGGCCUCCCCAAGUGUUGGGAUUACAGGCAUGAGCCACCAUGCCCAGCCCGCUUUUCCUUUUUAAGAAUGAUUUACACAUUGGGGUUCCAUAUUAAGGCUUCAUUUUCUAAAAGGGAGUUGUCACUGGGUAUGAUGGCUCAUGCCUGUAAUUCCUACAAUUACAGGCAAGAGGCAGGAGGAUCAUCUGAGUCCAGGAGUUCAAGGCUGCAGUAAGCUACGAUUGUGCCUCUGCAAUCUGGCCUGGGUGACAGAGCAAGAUCCUGUCUCCAUAAUCCCAGCUACUCGGGAGGCAGAGGCUGCAGUGAGAUUACACCACUGCACUCUGGCCUGGGCAACAGAGGGAGACUCUGUCUCAAAAAAAAAAAAGGUAUAGAAAAAAAGAAGGGAGGCUCCAGUAGCAGCCAAGCACAUCUCAUGCCUAGAUCUUGGUUUCCACCACUGUUCUGCAAUUAAAAGGACCAGGCUCCUUGGAAAAAUGGUUGGCUCCAGGACUGGGGCAGGAAAUAUUCAAGAUGAGCCUGCAGCAUCUCUAGAGCCUGAAAGUAAGGACACAGUAAAAACAAAAACAAGGCUGGGUGCGGUGGUUCACGCCUAUAAUCCCAGCACUUUGGGAGGCUGAGGCGGGCAGAUCAACUGAGGUCAGAAGUUCAAGACCAGCCUGAACAAUAUGAUGAAACCCCAUCUCUAUUAAAAAUACAAAAAUUAGCCAGGCAUCGUGGCAUGUGCCUGUAAUCCCAGCUACUCAGGAGGCUAAGGCAGGAGAUCACUUGAACUCAGGAGGCGGAGGUUGUGGUGAGCUGAGAUUGCACCAUUGCACUCCAGCCUGGGCAACAAGAACGAAACUCCGUCUCAAAAACAAAAACAAUGGGAGUAUAACAAGUCAAAGGGACUCUGGAACCAACUGAAAGAGCUCCCCAUGGCCAAAGUCAGACUAAUGUGAGUGACAAAAUAAAGAAAGUAACGUUGGAUGAUAACCUCAAAUACAAAGUAAAUAUCCCUGAGUCCAAACUCAUAAAAAUAAAUGACUAAGUUACUAAAUGAGGAGAAGAGACACAUUUCCUUUGCAGAAGAAUUCCAAAUAAUUUAUGUAAAUCCCUUGCCCCCAAGGAGAUGGAGCAUAAACCCCCCAACUCCUUACAUGCAGGCUGUGCAGUGAAUUCCUUCCAAAGAGGACAAGGUGUAAAGGGAGAAAGAAGAGUAGCUUUACAAAGUGGAGAAACUUGACAAACAGGUGAUCAGGAUGAACAAAAACAGUGGUGAAUCAUGUGGUCAGUGUGUCCCCUUGAUAUGUGAUGAAAUGACACUUCCCCUUUGAGGUCUUCCUCCAAAAAACACGUAACUCCAGUGUAAUCAUGAGAAAAAUAUCAGACAAAUCCCAGCUGAGGGGCAUCCCAUAAUAUGUCUGACCAGAACUCUUCGAAACUAUCAAAGUAGGCAUCAAAACCAAAGAAAGUCUGAGCAACUGCCCUAGCCAAGAGGAACCUAAGGAGACACGACAACUCCUUACUUGUCAAUAUAAAUGUCUGGAGCCAGAAUGUUAUCAAAUUUGAUAACAUAAUGUCAUAUGAGAUCCUGGAACAGUAAAAUACAUUAGGCAAAACUAAGGCAAUCUGAAUAAACUAUAGACUUUAGUUAAUACUAAUGGAUCGAUAUUAUUUCAUUAAUUGUGACAAACGUACCACCCCAAUGUCAGAUGUCAUUAAUAUUAGGAGUAACUGAGCGUGGGGUAUACAGCAGCUCUCUGCACUAUCUUCUCAAUUUUUUCUGCAACUCUAAAACUAUUCUAAGGCCAGGUGUGGUGGCUCAUGCCUGUAAUCCCAACAUUUUGGGAGGCUGAGGUGAGUACAUCGCUUGAGCUCAGGAAUCUGAGACCAGCUAGGGCAAUAUAGUGAGACCUCGUCUCUACAAGAAAAAAAACAACUGGCCGGGCAUGGUGGCUCACGCCUGUAAUCCCAGCACUUUGGGAGGCCGAAGUGAGCAAAUCGCCUGAGGUCAGGAAUUCGAGACCAGCCUGGUUAACACGGUGAAACCCCAUAUCUACUAAAAAUAAAAAAUUAGCCAGGCAUGGUGGCGCAUGCCUGUAAUCCCAGCCACUCAGGAGGCUGAGGCAGGAGAAUUGCUUGAACCCGGCAGACGCAGGCUACAGUGAGCCGAGAUCACCCCACUGCACUCCAGCCUGGGCGAGAGAGUGACACUCCAUCUCAAAAAAAAAAAAAAAUUUAAAUUAAAAAAUUAGCUGAGCAUGGUGGCAGGUGCCCGUAGCCCCAGGUACUCAGGAGGCUGAGGCAAUAGGAUCACUUGAGCCUGGUAGGUGGAGGCUACAGUGAGCUGGGAUCAUACCACUGCACUCCAGUCUGGGUGACAGAGCAAGCCCCUAUCUAUAAAUGAAUAAAUAAAGCUGUUCUAAAAAUAAAGUCUAUUACAAAAAAAAAAAGAGAGAGAGAGAGAGAGAUUUAGCCCUGAUUUUGCAAAGGGAAAUGUCUCCUCUGCUGCAGGACCCCGACAGGCCUUCAAAGUUGGGUCUAUAGUUGCAGCACUUGCCAAACUAACUCAGGUCAGAUGCCCAAAGGAGGGGUGGAGGUGGCUGCAGCUCAACUCUUGGCUCAUCUCAGCAGCAGGGGGCUUGGGCACUGGAGAAAGGGGGGCUGAGGCUGGCCCAGGCCUUGGCCACUUGCCACAGAUACUGCUAGUUUGCAUCUGGCUUUAGUAUCCACUGAUGUGGGCUACCAGAGGAAGGGAUGUGUCCAGAGGUGGCCUUGUCUCAGGGCGACCAUCCACACAGAAUCACUCUGCUGGGCUGCUGCAGGUCUGGUUCUGCCAUUCAGCAUGAGCCCUGGGCUCGCUGCACCACCAUCUCCUCAUCCGUUUAUGGGAUGAGAAUAGGAAGACCCUGCCUUUUAUGAUGUUGCCCUCAGGAUUCGACAAGUCCAACAACUUAGCCAAGCGUUGAUUUAGUACUUCCUGGCACACAGGUGGUAGUCAACGUUAGCUCUCAGCAUCCCCUGACCCAACUCCUCCAGCGGUCUCCAGCUGGAAGAGUCCAACUGCUCUUCAUUCCUUUAUGAAAUGGGGUGGUCACUGUGUAAAUAAAUCACCUGAAGGAUGCCAAUCAUCUUGGAGGAGAGGCUAGUUCAGAUCUGCAACGGACUCAUCACCAGUAUUUGCACUUAAAUAAUGUAAUGUAAUAAUGUGUUCUUCGAAGUCACCCCUGAAUUGAUCCCAUGUGUAAGGAAAAUUGUUCAUUCUAGGACUACUUGUAAUAGCACGAGGUAGGAAACAACCUGAAUUUCCUUCAAAAAGGAACUGGUUAAAUAAAUUAGACUACUAAGACACGUGUAUGCUUGUACAUGGAUCCUAUAUGCUCCUCUGCUGUGUGUGUGUGUGUGUGUGUACAUCUCACUGGAAAGAUUACACAAGAAAUUGGUUAACAUUUGUAGUCUCUGAGGAAGGGACUAGGGGGCUAGGAGACAUGGGAAGAUACUUUUCACUGUAGAGACUUUUGUAUCUUUUGCAUUUUGAACCAUGUGAAUGUAUUCUUAAUUUUUUUUUUUCGAGACAAGAGUCUUGCUCUGUUGCCCAAGUGGAGUUGCAGUGGUGCGAUCACAGCUCACUGCAGCUUCAACCUCCUGGGCUCAAGGGAUCCUCCCACCUCAGCCUUACAAGUAGCUGGGAAUACAGGCAUGAUCCACCAAACGUGGCUGUGAAUGUAUUAUUUAUGCUCAAAAAUGCCUAACAGACAGGGCAUGGUGGCUCAUGCCUGUAAUCCCAACACUUUGGAAAGCUGAGAUGGGAGGAUUGCUUGAGACUAGUAGUUUGAGACCAGCCUGGGCAACAUAGAAAGACCCUGUCUCUAAAAAACUAAAAGUAAAAAGUGCUUAAUAGAAUCAGUGAAAAAAAAAAAUCUACCCCUGUGGGUCAUGGCUGUUGGGGCGGGCUCGGGAGAACUGCCAAGUCAAAUGUAUAACGGGUGGGCCACUGUGACUCUGGAGCAGCUGGGAGGUGGAGGCGGCAUCGGCUCAGGUCACAAGGAUGUGGCUCUCAAGGCGAGCAGCAUCCUAGCUGCAAAUGCUUCCUAGGACAAGCCAAUAAGGUUGGUGCGGACAUCUACACAUGGACAACUCUAGAGAGUCCAAAUCCACUGUUUUUUUUUUGUUUUUUUUUUUGAGACAGUCUCACUCUGUCGCCCAGGCUGGAGUGUAGUGGUAUGAUCUCUGCUCACGGCAACCUCCGCCUCCUGGGUUCAAGUGAUUCUCGUGUCUCAGCCUCCCAAGUAGCUGUGAUUACAGGCGUGCACCAACACACCGGCCAAUUUUUGUAUUUUUAGUAGAGAUGGGGUUUUGCCAUGUUGGCCAGGCUGGUCCUGAACUCCUGACUUCCAAGUGAUCCACCUGCCUCAGCCUCCCAAAGUGCUGGGAUUACAGGCGUAAGCCACCAUGCCAGGUCCAAAAUCACUGUCUUAAGACCUCCGCCUUGACCCUUCUCCAAAAGGGCUAUGUUUCAAAUCUGCUAUCAAGGCAGCCCAGGUGGCUGGGUGCAGUGGCUCAUGUCUGUAAUCCCAGCACUUUGGGAGGCCGGUGAGAGAGGAUCACUUGAUCCCAAGAGUUCGAGCCCAGCAUAGGGUACAUAGUGAGACCUCGUCUCCAUAAAAUAUAAAAUAAAAUAAAAAUUUUUAAAAGGCACCACAGGGUAGGGAUUAACGGGCAAGGAUUCUGAAGUCUGCUCCCUGGGGUCAAACUCAGUCCUGCCACCCGCCAGCUGGGUGAGGCCUUCAGCAGUUAACUCCCCUCUCUGUGCCUCUGUAAAGCGCAACAAUAAGAGAAUCUCCCUGGCACAGCUAAACCCUGUGUGGUAAAUUACCUAUAUAUGUUUUUAUAUCAUUGCAGUUCCUAUUACACAUUGAGAAAUUACCAUGGCUCUUAAAUUUAGCAACUGGAACUCUUCCAGUUCACCCCAGCAGUUGUUAAAAUUACCUAUGAAGUAGAAUCAGAGGAAAUUAUUAGGAAACAAAGAAGGCUGAAGCUCAGCAGGGAAAGUGCGCAUGUGUGAGCUCUUCCUGGUGGCAAUGACCUGAAGGGGCGGCCCCUGGAAUCUGAGGGCCAGCAUUUGCUGUCCUUUGAGGUCAGGCCUCAGCCAGUCUCAGGAGGGUCUAGCCUGGGCCCCCACAGAGAAAGGCAUCUAUUACUGCUCUCUACAGUUGUCCCUCAUCCUGAAGUCCGGCCCUUCACACCCCAUCCCCAGUGCCUGGGACACUGCAUGACACACAGUCAGCCCCCAAUAUGACGUAACUGAAAAACUGAAAAUAAUGGAUUUAGGAAGAUGAAAGAAGUUCUGGAGAUGGAUGAUGGCGAAGGGUACACAACAGUGUGAAAGUACUUAAUGCCACUGAAUGGUACAGUUUAAAAUAGUUAAAAUGGUCCAGGCGCAGUGGCUCACACCUGUAAUCCCAGCACUUUGGGAGGCUGAGGCGGGCGGAUCACCUAAGGUCAGGAGUUCGAGACCAGCCUGGCCAACGUGGUGAAACCCCAUCUACUAAAAAUAUGAAAAUUAGCUGGGAGUGGUGGCAGGUGCCUGUAAUCCCAGCUACCAGGGAGGCUGAGGCAGGAGAAUAGCUGGAACCCUGGAGGUGGAGGUUUCAGUGAGCCAAGAUCAUGACAUUGUCCUCCAGCCUGGGCAACAAGAGCAAAACUCUAACUCAAAAAAAAAAUAAACAAUAAAAAUAAAAUAAAAUGGUUAAAAUUGUAAAUUUCACGAGGUAUAUUUUCACACAAUGAAAAUAAAUAAAUAAACGGAUGAGAUCUAGUCUCAUCUUUACCUGCUCUCUCAUUAAUUCUCCUCCAACCCCCUGACCUCUCCUAGGCUGUCUCUUUUUGUCAGUUCCUGUUCUCUAAACAGGGAAAGGGCCCCAGAUUCCCUCCAAUCUCUAUGAUCCCUUUCCAGCUGGUAUUACCAGGCCCU